rnacentral:rRNA from 1 species
AUUGGCUGUCUUCAGCUCGUGUCGUGAGAUGUUGGGUUAAGUCCCGUAACGAGCGCAACCCUUGUCCUUAGUUACCAGCACCUCGGGUGGGCACUCUAAGGAGACUGCCGGUGACAAACCGGAGGAAGGUGGGGAUGACGUCAAGUCAUCAUGGCCCUUACGGCCAGGGCUACACACGUGCUACAAUGGUCGGUACAAAGGGUUGCCAAGCCGCGAGGUGGAGCUAAUCCCAUAAAACCGAUCGUAGUCCGGAUCGCAGUCUGCAACUCGACUGCGUGAAGUCGGAAUCGCUAGUAAUCGGAAUCAGAAUC